CCCUGAUGCCAGCUUUUUUGGGAAGGGACGACACCCUCUUCUCCCAGGCUCUCACACUGCCAUUGGGGAGAUAUGCCGCCUUCAUCCUCUUCCUGAACUGGACUCUGCUGUUGGGGAUCUGGGAAGGAUGCCCCUCAUCCCUAUGGGGCUGGUGUGGAGACCUCAGUCCCAUCCAUGAGGUCUUCCCAGGACCAGUCUAUUAGAUCUCCU